rnacentral:lncRNA from 1 species
AACAGAGAGUGAAUAGAAAAUGAUACAAAAAAGAGGGAACAGAAGAGCUCUCAUCCAAGACGUCCCUUCAAGUGUGGAUGGCUCAGGGUAACCAGUGUUUAUCUUGCAGUAGUAGUACCAUGCCUCAAAAACAUGCACCUGCACAAACAACAUGACCUUGUUUACUUCCAUCCCAAAACCCGUCACAUCGAAUCUUUAGACGCAUACAUGGAGUAUUAAAUAUAGACGAAAAUAAAAACUAAUUGUACAGUUUAGUCGGAAUUUACGAGACAAAUCUUUUGAGUCUAGUUAGUCUAUAGUUGGACAAUAAUUACCACAAACAAAUGAAAGUGCUACAGUGUCACAAAUUUUUUCUCAUGAGGAAGUAAACACGGCCCAUGUGAAACUUGUUCUUGGAAUCAUGAAACCCUCAAACCAAAUACAAAUCACAAGGCCAAUCACUAGUCACAAGUAUUGACACCGUGGAACUGCUAAGUAUAUCCAUCCGUGGAACUGCAAAGUGGGAUGACUGAAAGUCUAAAAUGGCACUACGUCCAAAACAAACAAGAGCAGAGAAAUUUGGAAACGCAACCAGAAAACCAAAAUAAAGUGUACACGAGAGAAGC